GUCAGCUCGUGUCGUGAGAUGUCGGUUAAGUCCCGCAACGAGCGCAACCCUCGACCUUAGUUGCCAGCAUUCAGUUGGGCACUCUAAGGUGACUGCCGGCUAAAAGUCGGAGGAAGGUGGGGGAUGACGUCAAAUCAUCAUGCCCCUUAUGACCUGGGCUACACACGUGCUACAAUGGGCGGUACAAAGGGUCGCGAACCCGCAGGGGGAGCCAAUCCCAAAAAGCCGCUCUCAGUUCGGAUUGCAGGCUGCAACUCGCCUGCAUGAAGCCGGAAUCGCUAGUAAUCGCGGAUCAGCAUGCCGCGGUGAAUACGUUCCCGGGCCUU
rnacentral:rRNA from 1 species